rnacentral:lncRNA from 1 species
AUGGUAUUUAAGAAUAAUACAACAACAAUAUAAAACACCUUUAUUAGAAUAAAACAAACUCCAAGAACAAAAAAAAAGGAGGUCUGUACAAGAGUUGACUGAUUGGAUGAGUUAACUUUCAGCACUUUGAAUUUGGCUUUGGGUCUCCAUGGUUUCUGAGGCGGAAUCAGCUUUGAGUCUUAUUGAGGAUCUGCAUAGGUGAUGAGUUCUCUGGACCUAAGGCUUUGAAGCAGCUCCAAUCCUGUUCUGCCUCCUGCCAGGUUUUCAUUAUGAGUGUGGGAUGUUGGUUUUAAGUCCCCUGCAGAGAUGGAGAAAGAAGGAAGGCAACUGGGCAAGUUCAAAUCCUUCAAAGCUUGCUGUUCUUACUGAGAUUCUGUCACUUUUCUUAUACAAAUGCAACCUGAAUUGCUUCAAGUCUCGGGCUAAUUUCCAGAGUUCUGAAAAGGUUGAUUCAGACCAUUUUCCCCCAGGGUUUUGUUUCCAUAGAGAAAGGAAUUCUCAAAAGUCCUCAUU